GAAGGUGCUUGCACCAGAGGGACUAAACAUUUUAUCGAGCGGCGGACGGGUGAGUAACACGUAGGUAACCUACCCUAAAGCGGGGGAUAACAUCUGGAAACAGGUGCUAAUACCGCAUAACAACAAACAUCGCAUGAUGAAUGUUUAAAAGAUGGUUUCGGCUAUCACUUUAGGAUGGACCUGCGGCGCAUUAGUUAGUUGGUGAGGUAACGGCUCACCAAGACGAUGAUGCGUAGCCGAACUGAGAGGUUGAUCGGCCACACUGGGACUGAGACACGGCCCAGACUCCUACGGGAGGCAGCAGUAGGGAAUCUUCCACAAUGGACGAAAGUCUGAUGGAGCAACGCCGCGUGAGUGAAGAAGGUUUUCGGAUCGUAAAACUCUGUUGUUGGAGAAGAACGUAUCUAAUAGUAACUGAUUAGGUAGUGACGGUAUCCAACCAGAAAGCCACGGCUAACUACGUGC
rnacentral:rRNA from 1 species